rnacentral:rRNA from 1 species
AGAGUUUGAUCCUGGCUCAGAACGAACGCUGGCGGCGUGCUUAACACAUGCAAGUCGAGUGCGCGGUUGUAGCAAUACAACUGGCGCACGGCGCACGGGUGCGUAACACGUGGGUAACCUGCCCUUUGGUGGGGAAUAACUCCGCGAAAGCGGAGCUAAUUCCGCAUAAGAUCCGCAAGGAUGAAAGCCGCAAGGCGCCGAAGGAGGGGCCCGCGCCCGAUUAGCUAGUUGGUAGGGUAACGGCCUACCAAGGCUUUGAUCGGUAGCUGGUCUGAGAGGAUGAUCAGCCACACUGGAACUGAGACGCGGUCCAGACUCCUACGGGAGGCAGCAGUGGGGAAUCUUGCACAAUGGGCGAAAGCCUGAUGCAGCGACGCCGCGUGGGGGAUGAAGCAUUUCGGUGUGUAAACCCCUUUCGAUCCGGACGAAACCCCGCAAGGGAUUGACGGUACGGAUAUAAGAAGCCCCGGCUAACUACGUGCCAGCAGCCGCGGUAAGACGUAGGGGGCCAGCGUUGUUCGGAAUUACUGGGUGUAAAGGGUUCGUAGGCGGUGCGGCAAGUUGGGAGUGAAAUCUCUGGGCUUAACCCAGAGGCUGCUUCCAAAACUGCUGUGCUUGAGUGUGGGAGAGGCGCGUGGAAUUGCAGGUGUAGCGGUGAAAUGCGUAGAUAUCUGCAGGAACACCCGUGGCGAAAGCGGCGCGCUGGACCACUACUGACGCUGAGGAACGAAAGCUAGGGGAGCAAACAGGAUUAGAUACCCUAGUAGUCC